GGAAGGUUAGCCAAGAGGUCUAAGGUGUUGUUCUGCUAAAACAAUUUUCACGGGUUCGAAUCCCGUACCUUCCU